rnacentral:rRNA from 1 species
GUCCUUUAGAGUUUAAUUUGAGGUCUGACCUGCCCACUGAUUAAUUGAAGGGCCGCAGUAUUUUGACUGUGCAAAGGUAGCAUAAUAAUUAGUUUUUUAAUUGAAAGCUUGUAUGAAUGGUUGGACGAAGUAAAAUCUGUCUCUAUAGAAUUUAUAAUUGAAUUUAAUUUUUAAGUUAAAAAGCUUAAAUUUUUGUAAAAGACGAGAAGACCCUAUAGAUCUUUAUAUUUAUUAAAUUUAUUUUUAUUAAGAUUUUUUAAGGUUUAAAUUUAAUAAUUAUUUUAUUGGGGUAAUAGUUAGAUUUAAUUAAUUCUUUAUGUUUUUAACAUUAAUUAAUGAUAAUUUGAUCCAAUUUUUUGAUUAUAAGAUUAAGUUACCUUAGGGAUAACAGCGUAAUUUUUUUUGAGAGUUCAUAUCGAUAAAAGAGUUUGCGACCUCGAUGUUGGAUUAAAAAUUAUCUUAGGGGUAGAAUUUUAAGAUUUUGGUCUGUUCGACCAUUGAAUUUUU